rnacentral:rRNA from 1 species
CACCGCGGUUAUACGAGGGGCCCAAGUUGACAGACCACGGCGUAAAGCGUGGUUAAGGGAAGACUCAAACUAAAGCCGAACGACCUCAAGGCUGUUAUACGCUUACGAAGGUACGAAGCCCGACCACGAAAGUGACUUUAACCUCACCUGACUCCACGAAAGCUGAGAAA